rnacentral:rRNA from 1 species
CGAUUAUGGUAGUUUGUGAGGUAACGGCUCACCAAGCCGAUAAUCGAUAGGGGCCGUGAGAGCGGGAGCCCCGAGAUGGGUACUUAGACAGCGACCCAGGCCUUACGAGGCGCAGCAGGCGCGAGACCUUCGCAAUACACGAAAGUGUGACGGGGUGACCCAAAGUGUCCAUAUAUGGACUGUGGUAGGUGAGUAAUGUCCCCUACUAGAAAGGAGAGGGCAAGGCUGGUGCCAUCCGCCUCGGUAAAACCUGCUCUUCAAGUGGUCGGGAUAAUUAUUGGGCUUAAUGUGUCCGUAGCCGGUUUAUUUAGUUCCUGGUUAAAUCGGGUAGCUUAACUAUCUGUUGCUAGGAAUACUGCUAUACUAGAGGGCGGGAGAGGUCUGAGGUACUACUGGGGUAGGGGUGAAAUCUUAUAAUCCUUGUAGGACCACCAGUGGCGAAUGCGUCUGACUGGAACGCGCCUGACGGUGAGGGACGAAAGCCAGGGGAGCGAAUCGGAUUAUAUACCCGGGUAGUCCUGUCUGUAAACGAUGCAUACUAUGUGAUGGUACUGUUAUGAGUCG